rnacentral:rRNA from 1 species
GACGAACGCUGGCGGCGUGCUUAACACAUGCAAGUCGAACGGAAAGGCCCUGCUUUUGUGGGGUGCUCGAGUGGCGAACGGGUGAGUAACACGUGAGUAACCUGCCCUUGAAUUUGGGAUAACUUCAGGAAACUGGGGCUAAUACCGGAUAGGAGCUCCUGCUGCAUGGUGGGGGUUGGAAAGUUUCGGCGGUUGGGGAUGGAAUAGCGGCUUAUCAGCUUGUUGGUGGGGUAGUGGCUUACCAAGGCUUUGACGGGUAGCCGGCCUGGGAGGGUGACCGGCCACAUUGGGACUGCGAUACGGCCCAGACUCCUACGGGAGGCAGCAGUGGGGAAUAUUGCACAAUGGGCGGAAGCCUGAUGCAGCAACGCCGCGUGCGGGAUGACGGCCUUCGGGUUGUAAACCGCUUUCGCCUGUGACGAAGCGUGAGUGACGGUAAUGGGUAAAGAAGCACCGGCUAACUACGUG